GCACAAGCGGAGGAACAUGUGGUUUAAUUCGAUGAUACGCGAGGAACCUUACCUGGGCUUAAAUGUAGAGUGCAUUGGAGGGAAACUUUCAUUUUCUUCGGAACUCUUUACAAGGGUGCUGCAUGGUUGUCGUCAGCUCGUGCCGUGAGGUGUCGGGUUAAGUCCCAUAACGAGCGCAACCCUUAUCGUUAGUUGCCAGCGGGUAAAGCCGGGGACUCUAGCGAAACUGCCGGUGUAAACCGAGAGGAAGGUGGGGAUGACGUCAAAUCAGCACGGCCCUUAUGUCCAGGGCUACACACGUGUUACAAUGGCCGGUACAGAGGGCAGCUACCUGUUGACAGGAUGCGAAUCUCGAAAGCCGGUCUCAGUUCGGAUCGGAGUCUGCAACCCGACUCCGUGAAGCUGGAUUCGCUAGUAAUCGCGCAUCAGCCAUGGCGCGGUGAAUACGUUCCCGGGCCUU
rnacentral:rRNA from 1 species